rnacentral:ncRNA from 1 species
CGCCAUUGGUUGUGAGUAUCCGCAAGGACUCAGGGGCUUGUUAUAGGGCCCUAAGACAGCCAAUGGCGUU